rnacentral:tRNA from 1 species
GCCCGGGUGGCUCAGUCGGUCAAGCAUCCGACUUGGGCUCAGGUCAUGAUCUCACAGUUCGUGGGUUCGAGUCCCGCGUCGGGCC